CAACUCUUUGUAGCCAAUAUAAUAACCAGUGAUUGAGCCAAAUGAUUCAAUGUGUUUCGGUGGCUAAUUUAAAAUGGACAAGAAAACAAUAAUUUGAUUGCAAAUUGAGUUAAUACCAAUCAAGUUAACAACAUAAUCUAAGAUCCUGGACUGGUUGAUGGUGCUGAUUAAAUGAGAAAAUUGAACAAUUAGAUAUUAAUUAACCACCAAUGAUCAACUGAUUGUCUACAUUGUUACGAAAUAUUUUGGAUUACCUUCUUCAUCUGUUGUUAUCGUUAUUAUUUUACUUGGUUCACUUUUACCAAUCAUAUUAACGGCAAACAUCCUAAUGUCAUAAUUAGUUAAUGGUUUAAGGUCAUUAAUUAAAACCUGAGACGCGGUUCCAUCAAUUUCAGUUGUUGAUGCUGCUGUUGACCAAGUACCUGUUGGAGUUACAGGGAGAGGAAAAAAGUAAAAUCCAUCAUUAGAAUUAUAAUAAUAAUAAUAAUCACCAUCAUUACUUUCAUCAUUAGUCAAUAUUAAAUUGCUGAUUCAUUAAGAAGAAGGUAUAAAGUUUGACAGGAAAGAAAGGAAUCAAUUGAUACAGCAGAAAAUUCUGACAAUUUAUCGCCAAUCAAGUUAUGAUAUAUUUCAAAUGGACACAUACACAGUAAAUCCUAUUUCAGGGAAAGAACGAUGAAAAAGAUAACAUUCCCUGUUUAUCCUGUUCAAUAAUAAUCUGAAUUUUCAUCAUCCUUCUUAUCAUCUUUCUCUUUCUUUCACUUUCAAUCUGACCACUUGAACGGAAGCUUAAGAUGAUGGAUGUUACUCUGAUUAAUAUCAAUUCCAUCUCAUAUCCAGAGGAAAAGAUAAAGAAAAGGAGGAAAAGUCGAAAGGACAUUAAACCAAAGGAAGAAUAUACAAAAACCAUACAUAAAAAUCAAACGAAAAUGAAUUUCUAUGUUAAUUAGGAUGAGACAUUUUAAUUCGUAAAUUUCAUCUUCAUUAUCUGGAAAAGAUUCUCUUUCUUUUUCUCAUCAUCCUCAUCAUCUAACGACAAUCUAUUAUGAAAUCACCUUUUCUCAGGUUAAAUGGCGACAAUCAAGGUUGAUGCAACACUCAGAAUUAUGAUGAUUUGGAAUUGGAAAAAAAGAGGAAAUGCCUUGAAAUGGAAAAUGAAAACAAUUCAAUGGAUUUAAGAAUAACAAUUAACAUGUGACAACAAUCAAUAUUCUCACUCUACUGAUGAUGGUGAUACUACGGAAAGGAAAAGUUCUGAUGUGAAAAAAGUCAUUUCUUAUCAUGGGGAUUUCAUGAAAAGGGCCAAGGAAGAAAAGUUUCAUCAAAUGGAGUGAAAACUAAUAUCUUUCCAAUAGGAAAUUGAGGAGAAUGAGAAAAUUUCAACGGAAACUAAUUCCUUGAGAUUAUUAAAUGUCCUUCCUUUCUCGAGAGCAAUUAAUUGUUCUACUUUUUGAUUGUAAACUUAUCAUUUAAUUUCAAAUGUAAUAAUAGCUCAAGAAAAGAUGAUAUUGAUAGUUGGAAAAUUGGGAAUUCACUUCUUAAAUUGAUAACUUGACAUUGGCAUGUUAAAGGGUCACACAAAGGCCGUGACAAGGAAGACAAGGAUGAUAAUCAUAAUGACGAGGAGGCGGAGGGAGAGAUAUAUAUAUAACUCUGAUGAAGAGAAGAUGAAAAAAGAAGAAAGAGAAAAAGAAACAGGAAGAAGAUGGCAAUGAUGAAAGAUGGAGAAGACAGAUUGUUGGACAGAAGGAGAUGAAGAAAAAAAGACGAAGAUGAAAGAGGAAGAUUAAGAUACAGUCAAGAAAAGUUUCGGUUCAGCAAGGUUGGUUCAUCAUCUUUGGAAGAUGAUGAAGAUAAGGGGAUGGCUAACGGAUAAUAAAAGAUGAACACAAAUCUUAAAAACUACUAUUGUAAUCAUCUUCAUCUUCAUCUUCAUCAUCAUGUAUAUGUUAUCGUGUUGGAACCUGAGAUAAACUUGAUGCGGUAAAAGAGGAACCCUACAUGGCGAAGGAAACUUAGGCAAAAAAAGCGAAGAUGGAAAAUAAAGAAAUGAAAUCUGAUGGAAUCUGAAGAUGAUGAUGAAAAAGAGGAAGACAAGAUGAUUGGUGAGAGAGAGAGAGAGAGAAUUGAAGAAAAAAGUUUCGUAUAUCACGAUAUAAAUAUCGUUGAUAAAGGGAAUGAUGAAGAAGAAGAUGGAUUGGGUUACAAAAGAAUAUUUCAUCUUCUCUCACUCACUCACUCUUUCUUUUUUUCUUUCUUUAUUCUCUCCUUUCUAUCAUCAUCAUGAUGUUUCUGUUAAUAUUUCAUGUGAUACUUUACCUCCAUCUUUUUUCCACUGGAUGAUGUAUUUGGUUACUGGACUAUUGCCCGAAUAAGGAAGUGAAUAACGUAAAGAAAUACUCUUACUACCAAAUUCGUGGGCAAUAAGGUCAGACGGUGGGUCAGGCGCUUCCUCAACUAGAACUCGACUGGUCAUCUCACUUUGACCAAAUGGAUUCCAAGUGAUACACAGGAAACUCCCAGAAUCAGAGCGAGUGGAUAUUGGAGUAAUUAAAUUUGAUAUAAGGCCGAUUGUUAAUUGGUCUCUCAUAUUACCUUCUAUCACUUAGGAAAUCAAUUUCAGUCCGUUCUUUGAGCCAUUUGAUGUUAAUUGGUUUCUCACCAAUCGCCUCACAACUUACAUUAACUGGAUCACCAAGUUUCACCCUUAU